rnacentral:rRNA from 1 species
GGACCACCCUCCAAGGCUAAAUACUACCCGGUGACCGAUAGCGCAUAGUACCGUGAGGGAAAGGUGAAAAGAACCCCGGGAGGGGAGUGAAAUAGAACCUGAAACCCUGUACUUACAAACUGUGGAAGCACAUUUCUUGUGUGACCGCGUNNCAGCAAGGUUAAGUACUUCAAGUAUGCAGCCGCAGCGAAAGCGAGUUUUAACUGAGCGUUUAGUUGCAUGACGUAGACCCGAAACCGGGUGACCUAUCCAUGAGCAGGUUGAAGCGAAAGUAAAAUUUCGUGGAGGACCGAACCCACGAG